UACGUAGGGUGCAAGCGUUACUCGGAAUUACUGGGCGUAAAGCGUGCGCAGGCGGUUCGGAAAGAGAGGUGUGAAAUCCCAGGGCUUAACCUUGGAACUGCACUUCUAACUACCGGGCUAGAGUACGUCAGAGGGGGGUAGAAUUCCACGUGUAGCAGUGAAAUGCGUAGAGAUGUGGAGGAAUACCGAUGGCGAAGGCAGCCCCCUGGGAUGAUACUGACGCUCAUGCACGAAAGCGUGGGGAGCAAACAGG
rnacentral:rRNA from 1 species